rnacentral:rRNA from 1 species
CCUACGGGAGGCUGCAGUGGGGAAUUUUGGACAAUGGGCGCAAGCCUGAUCCAGCUAUUCCGCGUGUGGGAAGACGGCCUUCGGGUUGUAAACCACUUUUGUAGAGAACGAAAAGUCUGUUGAUAAUACCGAUAGAUGAUGACGGUACUCUAAGAAUAAGCACCGGCUAACUACGUGCCAGCAGCCGCGGUAAUACGUAGGGUGCGAGCGUUAAUCGGAAUUACUGGGCGUAAGGGGUGUGCAGGCGGUUUUGCAAGAUGGAUGUGAAAGCCCCGGGCUUAACCUGGGAAAGCCAUACAUGACUGCAAGACUAGAGUGCGUCAGAGGGGGGUGGAAUUCCAAGUGUAGCAGUGAAAUGCGUAGAUAUUUGGAAGAACACCGAUGGCGAAGGCAGCCCCCUGGGACGCAACUGACGCUCAUACACGAAAGCGUGGGGAGCAAACAGGAUUAGAUACCCCUGUAGUC